GAGAGGCAGAAUUAGUACCACAUGUGAAAAUGGUGUUUGCAGUUAUCUGUAUGCUAAGAGCUGGUGCGAGGCUGGAUAACAAUGGCUACUUCAUAUGAAAUAACCAUAUAUAUCUGCAGAGUGAGUGGAAACAGAAGCUGUGCUGGAUUCGGUGUACACUGAAGUGCCCCAUCAUUAAGUGGUCAGGAAGUCUCACUGACCAUGUCUUGAAGCUCUUCUGCACAGCCUGGAGCUGCCUGGCAUAUCUUCCAGGCAGCAACAAGGAGAAGUUUGUCUCCUGCUUGCUCUGUAGACUAAAAUUCAAUCUUAGCUUACACUGUGUAGCUUUGUUGUAAGCCAAUAACUUACACUGUGUUACAUUCAUGUAACUGAGAAUAGAGAGAUCUUGUCUUUGGCUGGGCGGUUUGUCAGUUUUGCACUGUUUUCUUGCACUUUGAUGGUGAAAAUGUAGUAUUUAAAUACAUACUGUAAAGCAAAGAUGAAAACAGAUGCCUAAAAGCCAGUACAUAGGAUCCACUGUCAUGUCUUCAUAAAUUAUGAAUGCAAAUUUAUCACAACAACCAUUUACUGAUGGAAGUUUCCUGAUUUCCUGGGAUAUGUUUUGAGACUUCAGGUAUUCAUUCACUUUCCCUUCAGUGUAAUAAAACCAUUGUUAAAAUAUGGAUAGAUUUUUACAUGCUCUUUUUCACACUGGAUGUAUGUAGACAAUGUAUUCAGUAACACAAAGGAAUGAAAUUGUCAUUAAGAAGAAAUGAGGAAACAUGAGGAAAAAUGUACUGUGAAGUGCAAAAUAAGAUUAUGUAUUUACUUAAGGCUAGUAUGAAAUGCCUUAUCAUAUGAUCCAUAAGCCCAUGAGAAAUGAACUCCCAACCUGGAUGCAAAAUCCCUCAUUUUCAUGUCAACUGGAAUAUAAUUUCAGAUCAACCCCGAAAUUUACUCCUUUGGGUUAAACAGAAAGAAAAGACAAAACAAAACAAAUACAACUCGACAAUAAUAGAUAUCUCCUGU